GUCCGUGCAUUUUCUCAUGAACCAUUCAACCAAAGCUUUUGAAAUUUUUAUAUGUUGUUACUGAUGACAAAAUAGAGGUCAAGUUCAAUAAUGACGAUUUUGACUUUUAUCGUUCAGGAGUUAUGGUUCUUGAAAGAUCGUAAAAUGGCGUUUCCAUUCACGUUGUUGCAUUUACUCAUGAACCAUUCAAUCUAAGCUUUUCAAAUUUUAAUAUGUUGAUACUGAUGACAAAAUGGAGGUCAAAUUUGAUAUUGACGAUUUUCACUUUCACCAUUCAUCAGUAAUGGUUCUUGUGAUAUUGCCAGGACACAAAUAAAUGUUAAUAAAUUCGGUUUGCUGUCGUUGUGACAGCCUCUUGUUU
rnacentral:lncRNA from 1 species